rnacentral:rRNA from 1 species
GACAGAGGGUGCAAUCGUUGUUCGGAAUUACUGGGCGUAAAGCGCGUGUAGGCGGCCCUGCAAGGCGGAUGUGAAAUCCCACGGCUCAACCGUGGAAGUGCAUUCGAAACUGCAGGGCUAGAGUCCUGGAGAGGAAGGUGGAAUGCUUGGUAUAGAGGUGAAAUUCGUAGAUAUCAAGCGGAACACCGGUGGCGAAGGCGGCCUUCUGGACAGUGACUGACGCUGAGACGCGAAAGCGUGGGGAGCAAACAGG